AGGAUCAUUAGCGAGUGCAAACUCCAUAAACCCAC
rnacentral:rRNA from 1 species